AUGAACUGCACACCUCUACUCUUCCAACUCCUCUUGCUCUACACAGGUUCUGUGGCCUCCUAUGAGCUGACUCAGCCAGUCUCAGUCUCAGUAGCCCCAGGACAGACAGCCACAAUCACCUGCUCUGGAGAUGAAUUGUCARAAUAUUAUGCAGACUGGUUCCAGCAGCAGCACCCAGGACAGAGCCCUGUGCUGGUAAUAUAUGAUGAUAAUAAGCGACCCUCAGGGAUCCCGGAGAGAUUUUCUGGGUCCAGCUCAGGGAAAACAGCCACUCUGACCAUCAGCAGAACUCAGACUGACGAUGAGGCUGUCUAUUACUGUUCUUCAGCAUAUGGUGAAGGUGAUAAUGAACUUCCCACAGUGACACAGGAAGAUAGGGAA